rnacentral:pre_miRNA from 1 species
CUCGUACUCCCUCCGUUCGAAAUUACUUGUCGUAGAAAUGAAUGUAUCUAGAUGUAUUUUAGUUCUAGAUACAUCCAUUUCCGAGACAAGUAAUUCCGAACGGAGGGAGUACAUA